UACAGAGGGUGCGAGCGUUAAUCGGAAUUACUGGGCGUAAAGGGUGCGUAGGUGGUUUGUCAAGUCAGACGUGAAAGCCCUAGGCUUAACCUGGGAAUGGCGUUUGAAACUAUCAAACUAGAGGGCAGGAGAGGGAAGUGGAAUUUCCGGUGUAGCGGUGAAAUGCGUAGAUAUCGGAAGGAACACCAGUGGCGAAGGCGACUUCCUGGCCUGCAACUGACACUGAGGCACGAAAGCGUGGGGAGCAAACAGG
rnacentral:rRNA from 1 species